GAGAAAGACACAGCAAGAACUGCUAACUCAUGCUACCGUAUAUAACAAUACGGCUUUCUCA
rnacentral:tRNA from 1 species